rnacentral:rRNA from 1 species
GAUGAACGCUAGCGGCAGGCCUAAUACAUGCAAGUCGGACGGGAUUCAGGAGCUUGCUUCUGAUGAGAGUGGCGCACGGGUGCGUAACACGUAUGUAACCUACCUUUAUCAGGGGGAUAGCCUCUCGAAAGAGAGAUUAAGCCCGCAUAAAAUCACAGCACAGCAUUGUGUAAUGAUCAAAUAUUUAUAGGAUAAAGAUGGGCAUGCGGAACAUUAGCUAGAUGGCGGGGUAACGGCCCACCAUGGCGACGAUGUUUAGGGGAUCUGAGAGGAUGGCCCCCCACACUGGUACUGAGACACGGACCAGACUCCUACGGGAGGCAGCAGUAAGGAAUAUUGGUCAAUGGGCGGAAGCCUGAACCAGCCAUGCCGUGUGCAGGAAGACGGCCCUACGGGUUGUAAACUGCUUUUAUACGGGAAUAAACCCAGAUACGUGUAUCUGGCUGAAUGUACUGUAAGAAUAAGGAUCGGCUAACUCCGUG